UUCAUUAAUUGUUUAUGGUUCAUUGAACAAGCAUGGGAAACAGUGUUUAAAUCCUUUACAAUGAAGAUCUGUGAAGUUAUUUGGAUUUUUACGAAUUAUCUUUGUAAGUGAGAAUCCUGAAAAUGGGUUUCUUUUUUUGCUGAGUUUACAUACUGAUCAGCACUUUGAAGCCUUCUUCAUUGAUGGUAUUUUUAUAUAUUUUUUUUAUAGAAGUUCUAAAAGUCAAAAGAACUACUUAGAUUAAUAUAUUAUUCAUUAUUUAUUAUUAUUAUUAAUAUUAUUAUAUUAUAUUGUAUUCAAAACAAAGACAUCUGUCCUUCAUAAAUGUCUACCUUGUCCUGGACAUAUUGACCCAGUAGUGUAGAAGGAAGUGUUGCCUUAGAAACGGAUAACACAGAGACACACCCCCAAGGCCUACCUUCAAACUCGGUGCCUCUUUGUUUGACAUCAUGGGAAAAUCAAAAGAAAUCAGCCCCCAAAAAAUGGUAGACCUCCACAAGUCUGGUUCAUCCUUGGGAGCAAUUUCCAAACGCCUGAAGGUACCACGUACAAACAAUAGUAUGCAAGUAUAAACACCAGGGGACCACGCAGCCGUCAAACCGCUCAGGAAGGAGACUCAUUCUGUCUCCUAGAGAUGAACGUACUUUGGUGCGAAAAGUGUAAAUCAAUCCCAGAAUAACAGCAAAGGACCUUGUGAAGAUGCUGGAGGAAACGGGUACAAAUGUAUCUAUAUCUACAGUAAAACGAGUACUAUUUCGACAACCUAAUAUAGUCCUACAUAACCUGAAAGGCCGCUCAGCACCAAACCGCCAUAAAAAAAGCCUGACUACAAUUGCACAUGGGGACAAAGAUCGUUCUUUCCUCUGGUCUGAUGAAAACAAAAAUAGAACUAUAAUGAUGGCCAUAAUGACCAUCGUUAUGUUAGGAGGAAAAAGGGGGAGGCUUGCAAGCCAAAGAACAUUAUCCCAACCGUGAAGCACGGGGGUGGCAGCAUCAUGUUGUGGGGGUGGCAGCAUCAUGUUGUGGGGGUGGCAGCAUCAUGUUGUUGGGGUGCUUUGCUGCAGGAGGGACUGGUGCACUUCACAAAAUAGAUGGCAUCAUGAGGAUGGAUAUUUCUGAGGAUAUAUUGAAGCAACAUCUCAAGACAUCAGUCAGGAAGUUAAAUCUUGGUCGCAAAUAGGUCUUCCAAAUAGAGAAUGACUCCAAGCAUACUUGCAAGCAAAGUUGUGGCAAAAUGGCUUUAGGACAACAAAGUCAAGGUAUUGGAGUGGCCAUCACAAAUCCCUGACCUCAAUAUUAUAGAACAUUUGUGGGCAGAACUGAAAAGGCGUGUGCGAGCAAGGAGGCCUACAAACCUGACUCCGUUACCCAGCUGUCAGGAGGAAUGGGCUAAAAUUCACCCAACUUAUUGUGGGAAGCUUGUGGAAGGCUACCCGAAACAUUUGACCCAAGGUAAACAAUUUAAAAGCAAUGCUACCAAAUACUAAUUAAGUGUAUGUAAACUUCUGACCCACUGGGAAUGUGAUGAAAGAAAUAAAAGCUGAAAUAAAUCA